AGCAGAGCCAACUAGAAGGCUUUCAGCUUAAUGCAAACACAUGAAAGAGCUGCUGUGAUCAGAAGUACUAGCCAUCGGAGACCAGUCUAAAGUUCAAACCUGAAGAAUUGUGAAAAUCUAAUCAUUAUAUAAAUGGAUAUGCCAGGAGCAAUUUCUGUUUCCAUGAAGAAUGUAGAAGGUUUUCAGAGUGAUUAGAUGAUCGCCCUGGAAAGCAAAUCAAUGUUUUAAGAAAGAGCAACUCGGAAGAGCCAAGCCUGGUAGCAGGAAGACAGAAGGCUACUGCCGUCCACUAAGUAACCACUGG